rnacentral:tRNA from 1 species
GCCUGAAUAGCUCAGUUGGCAGAGCAACUCCAUGGUAAGGAGUAGGUCGUCAGUUCGAAUCUGACUUCAGGCUCAA